rnacentral:misc_RNA from 1 species
GAUGAAGAACGUAGCAAAAUGCGAUAAGUAAUGUGAAUUGCAGAAUUCAGUGAAUCAUCGAAUCUUUGAACGCACAUUGCGCCCGCUGGUAUUCCGGCGGGCAUGCCUGUUCGAGCGUCAUUUCAACCCUCAAGCCCCCGGGUUUGGUGUUGGGGAUCGGCUCUGCCCUUCUGGGCGGUGCCGCCCCCGAAAUACAUUGGCGGUCUCGCUGCAGCCUCCAUUGCGUAGUAGCUAACACCUCGCAACUGGAACGCGGCGCGGCCAUGCCGUAAAACCCCAACUUCUGAAUGUUGACCUCGGAUCAGGUAGGAAUACCCGCUGAACUUAAGCAUAUCAAUAAGCGGAGG